AUGCUCCCUUCGGCAGCACAUAUACAAAAAUUGGAACGAUACAGAGUUUAUUAGCAUGGUCCCUGUGCAAGAAUGACAUGCAAAUUCGUGAAUAGUUCCAUAUUUUA